rnacentral:rRNA from 1 species
ACUGAGACCGAUGCGCGUCAAUCCGUCCUCCCGUGCGCGGCCUCGAUUCUCCUCACGGGGUCUCUUGCUGCCGUGCGGGGCCAAAGGGCGGCGCGCUCCGCUUUGGUGACUCUGGAUAACUCACUGGUCGAUCGCACGGGCUUCACGCCCGGCGACGGG